AAACUCCUUUUGUGCUAUCUCCCUACAACUACACUGCUAGAUUUCACUCCAUCUAAUUGCAACUAUGCUUGCUGUGUAUGCUCUUUAGUUCCCCUUCUGGAUCAAGCAGCUGAUUUCUUCUGGCUUUAUACACACUAAGCUUAUUGUGACUUUGCAACACUGCCUGCGAUCCUUAUAUAGAUCUUAUACAGAUAUUUUGGGAAAUCUACAUGAUUCCUUCCUUGAAUUAACACUGCAGCUGGAUUGCUCAUUGAUGUCCCUGGUCUUUAACCCCAUAAACCGUUAUAUAUGAUCAUGCACAUGACCAUUUUCACCUCGGCGGUUUUCUGUGUUUGUCGCUAGUUGUGGGCAACUCGUGGUUGCAUAUUUUGACUGGAUAUCGCUCCCUCCCCUGAAGAAGCGGAAGUCCGCGAAACAUGUAGGGUCUAUGCGAUUUCCUUUUCCAGUUGCAUCCAUA